GUUAAACUUGGGCUCCUAUUUAACCUAUCUGUGCCCUAUUUUCCAUAUCAGUAAAAUUAGGAAGACAAUGUAGUGCCUACCACAAAGAAUCCUUGUGAGGAUUAACUCGGUUUACCAACAUAAAAGAAGCAUCUUGUUACACAGAAAAGCAUUAAAUGUCAGUUAUCAGUAUUUAAAAACUUUUUAAGGGCAAAAACUGCAACUUUUACUACACCCAUGAUUGACUUUUGUGUGUAUGUGUGUGUGCUAGCAGGGUGGUGGGCACAUGGAAGGAGAUCAGAUGUGUUGGAGUUUUUGAUCCAGGAGCCACUUGAGCAAGUCAAGGUUUUCUGUGAACACUUAACAUCCUGCAUACCUGCUUGUGUUUUCUGAGCUGUUGGAUGAAAUAAAAACAAAGCAAAACAAACUUCCAAACCAGAAAGGUCCAGGCCCUAUGACUUGGUAAAUAGAGAUAUGUCGUGCCCAUUUCCAUGGUUUUGAAUGUCACCAAUAGUAAUCUACUGUGGAAAAUUGUGUAUAACAUUGUCAUCAUAUGAUUGGUUUUACUCAUACAUGGAUGUGCCGUUGGCUUAGGAGCCAGGCAGGUGGGUUCUGCACAAUGAGGAGCUUGUCAUAACAUAGAGAAGGCCAGAAAGGAUUCAAACAUUUGGUGGGCAUCUACUUCAGUGGCAUGUCAGAGCUGGCCCUGCCAGCUGAUUGUUAAAUUUUCAGGAUUUUUUGUGAGCUAGUUAUUAAGCAUCACCAUUAUAAAAAAUUAGAUUAUAUAAACUUAAAUAAAUUAUAUUAAAAAAUAAAGGUAAUAGAAUAUGUCACAAUGAAACCCACCAUUCUGUAUAAUUGAGAUGCACCAAUAAAAAACAAAGGUAUUAAAUAUUCAGUUACAUCCAGAUUGAGUAGGAAUACUCAACUAAUUAUCUUACAACUAUCUAUGCUCUUGAGAUUAUAUUUCCAUUUAUUGCACCAAUGUGGUGAAAAUAUUAUAUGAUGGGGUGCUAUUUCCAGUUGCUUGUGUUUAAUGAUGUCACAUGAUAGCUUGAAAUUGGCCAUGGUGGGAGUAUUUACAUCAAGAUUUUGGCAAACUUUUCUAAUCAGGGCUUUUAAUUCCUAGGUGGUUGAUUAUUAACUAUUUGCUGGCAUAUUACUGAUACUGCAUAUCAGGCAUGGAAGUUGAACUUUUUUAUUUGCAAGAAAAAAAGGCUCCAAAGUAUUACAACUGAAGUGAGGAAGGGCUCCUGGUAAGGGUACUUACUGAGAGAAAGGUGUGGAGGCUACCAGGGAGACUCAAGAACAGGCCUAUCCAGGGCUAUAUGGAGCAGAGGGGAGGGGCUGGAGGUUGUUCUGAAUCCAAGGACACUAUAGUGACCUUAGAACAGGGCCUUGGGCUCUCUGCUGUGGUUCAUUGCUAUUCUUAUGGUAUCUGCUUCUGUCUGUCCUGGUCCCAGCUGGUUUCCUUCCCCUCUGCUCUUCUGCAUUGUUUCUGUUAUAAUGUCUGCCUCCUUACAAUUUCUCAUGCCUUUGUCUUGUAUUGAUUAAUCAUAGCCAUUACUGUUUUCAUUAUUUGCUCCUGUUGAAGGUUGUAUUACUCUCUUUAUUUUUGUUGCUU
rnacentral:lncRNA from 1 species